GCUACCAUUAUUUUAUUAGAAUAAUAAUAUUAGUAUUGCACAUGAUAAUGAGGCCUAACCAAGGAAGGAGCCUCAGAUACUGCAUCAGCUCUUAUUUUAGUGUAGAUAUUUUAUUAUGGUAUGGCCUUCAUCAAUUUCAUGCUGCCGUCUGAAGUGGCUUGCUCCCCGUGAUUUGUUGGCGGUCUGACUCACCCACCUUACCACGUUGGGCGAAGUCGGUAAGUACUUUCAAGUCUCCUGUGUUCCCUGCCGCUUUAGCAUCCUCAACCUGGAUUUUAUUGUCGCCCUUGUCGCCCUUAUCAGCUCUGUUGGCGAAGUGGGUUAAUCCCGACGUGUUGCCGCUGUUGUUGCUCAAAUCGAACCCUUUAAUUUUAAUAUCAUUGGUUCCAGCCAUUGUCUCACUGAUUGAUUUUUAGUUGGGAUAUCUGUGUGUUUGCUUUGAUGAUCAACUCAU
rnacentral:lncRNA from 1 species